UACGUAGGGUGCAAGCGUUAAUCGGAAUUACUGGGCGUAAAGCGUGCGCAGGCGGUUUUGUAAGACUGUCGUGAAAUCCCCGGGCUUAACCUGGGAAUGGCGAUGGUGACUGCAAGGCUAGAGUUUGGCAGAGGGGGGUAGAAUUCCACGUGUAGCAGUGAAAUGCGUAGAUAUGUGGAGGAACACCGGUGGCGAAGGCAGCCCCCUGGGUCAAAACUGACGCUCAUGCACGAAAGCGUGGGGAGCAAACAGG
rnacentral:rRNA from 1 species